UGUGGGAGCGGGCUUGCCCGCGAUUGCGAUGUAUCAGUCACCAUUGAUAUUGACUGAUCUGCCGCCAUCGCGGGCAAGCCCGCUCCCACA
rnacentral:antisense_RNA from 1 species